AUGAACGCUGGCGGCGUGCUUAACACAUGCAAGUCGAACGGUGAAGCGGAGCUUGCUCUGUGGAUCAGUGGCGAACGGGUGAGUAACACGUGAGCAACCUGCCCCUGACUCUGGGAUAAGCGCUGGAAACGGCGUCUAAUACUGGAUAUGAGCUGCGACCGCAUGGUCAGCAGUUGGAAAGAUUUUUCGGUCUGGGAUGGGCUCACGGCCUAUCAGCUUGUUGGUGAGGUAAUGGCUCACCAAGGCGUCGACGGGUAGCCGGCCUGAGAGGGUGACCGGCCACACUGGGACUGAGACACGGCCCAGACUCCUACGGGAGGCAGCAGUGGGGAAUAUUGCACAAUGGGCGAAAGCCUGAUGCAGCAACGCCGCGUGAGGGAUGACGGCCUUCGGGUUGUAAACCUCUUUUAGCAGGGAAGAAGCGAAAGUGACGGUACCUGCAGAAAAAGCGCCGGCUAACUACGUG
rnacentral:rRNA from 1 species